rnacentral:rRNA from 1 species
UACCUUGUUACGACUUCACCCCAAUUAUCGAACCCACCUUCGGCCGCGUCCCCCUUGCGGUUAGACUACGGACUUCGGGUGUUCCCGACUCUCAUGGUGUGACGGGCGGUGUGUACAAGGCCUGGGAACGUAUUCACCGCGGCAUGCUGAUCCGCGAUUACUAGCGAUUCCAACUUCACGCAGGCGGGUUUCAGCCUGCGAUCCGAACUGGGAUGGCUUUUAGGGAUUUGCUCCACCUCGCGGUAUUGCUUCCCUCUGUUGACCACCAUUGUAGUACGUGUGUGGCCCAGGACAUAAGGGGCAUGAUGAUUUGACGUCGUCCCCACCUUCCUCCGUUUUGUCAACGGCAGUCUCGCUAGAGUGCUCUUGCGUAGCAACUAACAAUAAGGGUUGCGCUCGUUGCGGGACUUAACCCAACAUCUCACGACACGAGCUGACGACAACCAUGCACCACCUGUGUGGGAUGUCCCCGAAGGGAAAAGACUAUCUCUAGUCCGGUCAUCCCCAUGUCAAGCCCUGGUAAGGUUCUUCGCGUUGCUUCGAAUUAAACCACAUACUCCACCGCUUGUGCGGGCCCCCGU